GACGAACGCUGGCGGCGUGCCUAAUACAUGCAAGUAGAACGCUGAAGGAGGAGCUUGCUUCUCUGGAUGAGUUGCGAACGGGUGAGUAACGCGUAGGUAACCUGCCUGGUAGCGGGGGAUAACUAUUGGAAACGAUAGCUAAUACCGCAUAACAGUAGAUAUCGCAUGAUAUCUACUUGAAAGGUGCAAUUGCAUCACUACCAGAUGGACCUGCGUUGUAUUAGCUAGUUGGUGAGGUAACGGCUCACCAAGGCGACGAUACAUAGCCGACCUGAGAGGGUGAUAGGCCACACUGGGACGGAGACACGGCCCAGACUCCUACGGGAGGCAGCAGUAGGGAAUCUUCGGCAAUGGACGGAAGUCUGACCGAGCAACGCCGCGUGAGUGAAGAAGGUUUUCGGAUCGUAAAGCUCUGUUGUAAGAGAAGAACGAGUGUGAGAGUGGAAAGUUCACACUGUGACGGUAGCUUAACAGAAAGGGACGGCUAACUACGUG
rnacentral:rRNA from 1 species